AAAUCAUAGUUUAAUGAUGAACACUUUACUUACACUAAAGAAGACUUCUUUUAAAGAGGUGAUUUC
rnacentral:tRNA from 1 species